rnacentral:lncRNA from 1 species
UUGAAACAAAGAUAGCAGUAGGUGAGACAACUUCAAAACUCAAGUAAGUCCAAGAGAUUAGGGUUUUGAAAUCAAAACAUGUUCAGAGAUGAGAAGAAAAUUACGUUGCAAUUGGCCUCAGAAACUCGAAUGAAACCUCAAAUUCUAGGAGUUUUUUACCGUUAAUCGAGCCUAGAGAUGAAAACCAGUGAAUCAAGCAGAAACAACAACGAAAUAAGUUCACAAAUCAUAAAGGGGCCCUAACCUUUAACAUGUAUUUCCCAAUAAAGAAUAUUUCAUGAAAGACAUAAUAAAAGAACAAUCGUGCAAAAUACAGUUAAGGAAAUC